UCCCUCUUAGCUCAGUGGUAGAGCGCGUCACUAGUAUCAGUUUGUGAUAUGACGAGGUCAGUCGUUCAAGUCGGCUAGAGGGAA